rnacentral:rRNA from 1 species
AUUGAACGCUGGCGGCAGGCCUAACACAUGCAAGUCGAGCGGAUGAGUGGAGCUUGCUCCAUGAUUCAGCGGCGGACGGGUGAGUAAUGCCUAGGAAUCUGCCUGGUAGUGGGGGACAACGUUUCGAAAGGAACGCUAAUACCGCAUACGUCCUACGGGAGAAAGCAGGGGACCUUCGGGCCUUGCGCUAUCAGAUGAGCCUAGGUCGGAUUAGCUAGUAGGUGGGGUAAUGGCCCACCUAGGCGACGAUCCGUAACUGGUCUGAGAGGAUGAUCAGUCACACUGGAACUGAGACACGGUCCAGACUCCUACGGGAGGCAGCAGUGGGGAAUAUUGGACAAUGGGCGAAAGCCUGAUCCAGCCAUGCCGCGUGUGUGAAGAAGGUCUUCGGAUUGUAAAGCACUUUAAGUUGGGAGGAAGGGCAGUAAGUUAAUACCUUGCUGUUUUGACGUUACCAACAGAAUAAGCACCGGCUAACUUCGUGCCAGCAGCCGCCGUAAAAC